GGAGCUUGCUUUAUAUAACUUAGCAGCGAACGGGUGAGUAACACGUAGAUAAUCUAUCCUAUACUGGGGGAUAGCCCGAUGAAAGUUGGAUUAAUACCGCAUAUAGCUAUAUAGUUGCACGAUUAUGUAGUGAAAGAUUUAUUGGUAUAGGAGGAGUCUGCGGCACAUUAGCUAGUAGGUGAGGUAAAGGCUUACCUAGGCGACGAUGUGUAGCCGGUCUGAGAGGAUGAACGGCCACAAUGGAACUGAGACACGGUCCAUACUCCUACGGGAGGCAGCAGUGGGGAAUAUUGCACAAUGGGGGAAACCCUGAUGCAGCAACGCCGCGUGAGUGUAGAAGGUUUUCGGAUUGUAAAGCUCUGUUAGCAGGGAAGAGGAAGGACGGUACCUGCAGAGGAAGCCACGGCUAACUACGUGCCAGCAGCCGCGGUAAUACGUAGGUGGCAAGCGUUGUUCGGAAUAACUGGGCGUAAAGGAUGCGUAGGCGGUUAAACAAGUUAUAUGUUAAAUAUAUAGGCUUAACCUGUAGAAAGCAUAUAAAACUGUUUAACUAGAGUGCAGGAGAGGUAAGUGGAAUUCCUAGUGUAGCGGUGAAAUGCGUAGAGAUUAGGAAGAACACCAGUGGCGCAGGCGACUUACUGGACUGUAACUGACGCUGAGGCAUGAGAGCAUGGGGAGCAAACAGGAUUAGAUACCCUGGUAGUCCAUGCUGUAAACGAUGGGUACUAGGUGUGGGUUGUGAAUAACAAUUCGUGCCGUCGCAAAC
rnacentral:rRNA from 1 species